AUUAUUGGACAAUGGGGGCAACCCUGAUCCAGCCAUGCCGCGUGUGUGAAGAAGGUGUUCGGAUUGUAAAGCACUUUAAGUUGGGCGGCAGGGCUUUAGGCGAAUCCCCUGAAGUUCGGCCGACACUAACAGAAUAAGCGCCGGCUAACUCUGUGCCAGCACCCGCGGUAAUACAGAGGGUGCAAGCGUUAAUCGGAAUAACUGGGCGUAAAGCGCUGGUAGGUGGUUCAGUAAGAUGGGUGUGAAAUCCCCGGGGUUAACCUGGGAACUGGUUUCAUAACUGCUGAGCUAGAGUACGGUAGAGGGUAGUAGAAUUUCCUGUGUAGCGGUGAAAUGCGUAAAUAUAGGAAGGAACACCAGUGGCGAAGGCGACUACCUGGACUGAUACUGACACUGAGGUGCGAAAGCGUGGGGAGCAAACAGG
rnacentral:rRNA from 1 species